UACAGAGGUCUCAAGCGUUGUUCGGAUUCAUUGGGCGUAAAGCGUGCGUAGGCGGUGGUCCAAGUCUGGUGUGAAAUCUCCCGGCUCAACUGGGAGGGUGCGCCGGAAACUGGGCCGCUGGAGUAUGGGAGAGGCAAGCGGAAUUCCUGGUGUAGCGGUGAAAUGCGCAGAUAUCAGGAGGAACACCGGUGGCGAAGGCGGGACUCUGGGCCGAUACUGACGCUGAGGAGCGAAAGCGUGGGGAGCGAACAGG
rnacentral:rRNA from 1 species